rnacentral:lncRNA from 1 species
AAGCUCGAUCUAGAACCUUGUUAAGGUUCAGCUGUGAUAAAUGCACAUUUUUGCAUUUUCUUAACUGGUCUUUAGAUUUUGAUCAGGAGUUUUUGAUCAAAGAACAAUGGAUUCUUCUCUGGAAGACAAGAUCCCUUUUUAUUUUUUCUCUCAUAGCUCCACAAACAGAGACGUGUCCUAAAGUCCAGAAAAGGUUCUGCAGACGUGAACAAUGGCGUCUGUUGGUGCUGUGUACAGUCCUGUCAGCUGGGAUCAUCAUUCUAUCCUCAUUCACGUGGGUCAACAAUAACAAUCUGCAGAUGGAAGUCAAGGAGCAAAAGAAUCACUCUGAAGACAUGGUGGUUAACAUUAACAAUCUGCACAGAGAAGUGAAGGAGCUAAAGAUACACUUUGAAGAUCCUCUGGUGUCUGUGGAAAACAACAGACUGAAAACCAGAAACAAUCACCUGCAGACUGAAAUUUCAGGUAAAACGUCUCCUUUUCCAAAUGUUGCAUAUUUGUUCUUUAUUCAUGUUUUCUAA